rnacentral:rRNA from 1 species
UACGAAGGGUGCAAGUGUUACUCGGAAUUACUGGGCGUAAAGCGUGCGUAGGUGGUUCGUUAAGUCUGAUGUGAAAGCCCCGGGCUCAACCUGGGAACUGCAUUGGAUACUGGCGAUCUGGAGUGCGGUAGAGGGGUGCGGAAUUCCCGGUGUAGCAGUGAAAUGCGUAGAUAUCGGGAGGAACAUCCGUGGCGAAGGCGGCACCCUGGACCAGCACUGACACUGAGGCACGAAAGCGUGGGGAGCAAACAGG